rnacentral:rRNA from 1 species
UACAGAGGUCCCAAGCGUUGUUCGGAUUCAUUGGGCGUAAAGGGUGUGUAGGUGGCGCCGUAAGUCGGGUGUGAAAUCUCGGGGCUUAACUCCGAAACUGCAUUCGAUACUGCGGUGCUUGAGGACUGGAGAGGAGACUGGAAUUCAUGGUGUAGCAGUGAAAUGCGUAGAGAUCAUGAGGAAGACCGGUGGCGAAGGCGGGUCUCUGGGCCGAAACUGACGCUGAGGAGCGAAAGCGUGGGGAGCAAACAGG